ACUUGAAGGUCACAAACAUGUGCAACAGCUGUGCAAGAUUGCAGAUCCACGUUACCUCGUCUGAUGUCAUGUCGUGUGCAGUGAGCAUGAGAAAAACAACCCUACUUUACCCUAGACUAGAAAAAAGACUGGAGGUCAGAAUGCAGGAUGAUUGAGCAUGGAGUGCUGGCAGAUGGACUAUUGAGGUCAACAAAAAAUUUGGACUUUCACCAGGUGGACAC